GACACCCUUGAGGCCUCUUCCACCAUCUCCUCUGUGUGCUGAAGGGAAAAGGGCCGCCAUGCAGCCAGCUCAGGCAGGGGUGUCCUUCGAAGAGGUGGCCGUGAUUUUCACCCCGGGGGAGUGGAGCCUGCUGCGCCCAGCCCAGAGAGCUCUGUACAAGGAAGUCAUGCUGGAGAAUUUUGGGAACGUGGCCUCUCUCAGUCCUCCGAUUGCCAAACCUGAGCUCAUAUCCUGGCUAGAAGAAGACAAAGAGCUGUUUCUCUUGUACUGUGA